UCCCUGGUGGUUCAGAGGUUAGGACUCUGCACUUCCACUGCAUAUGGCCCGGGUUUGAUCCCUGAUUGGAGAA
rnacentral:tRNA from 1 species